GGUGGCUCAGUGGUAGAGUGCUUGCCUUGCAUGCAUGAGGCCCUGGGUUUGAUUCCACAGCACCA
rfam:Dipodomys ordii contig_80705, whole genome shotgun sequence.